CAGUCGCCACGGGAAUACGGAGGGGGCUAGCGUUGUUCGGAAUUACUGGGCGUAAAGCGCACGUAGGCGGCUUUGUAAGUCAGAGGUGAAAGCCCGGGGCUCAACCCCGGAAUUGCCUUUGAGACUGCAUCGCUUGAAUCCAGGAGAGGUGAGUGGAAUUCCGAGUGUAGAGGUGAAAUUCGUAGAUAUUCGGAAGAACACCAGUGGCGAAGGCGGCUCACUGGACUGGUAUUGACGCUGAGGUGCGAAAGCGUGGGGAGCAAACAGGAUUAGAUACCCCUGUAGUCCCUGUCUCUUAUAC
rnacentral:rRNA from 1 species